CCUACGGGAGGCAGCAGUGGGGAAUCUUGCGCAAUGGGCGAAAGCCUGACGCAGCAACGCCGCGUGCGGGAAGAAGGCUUUCGGGCUGUAAACCGCUUUCAGCAGGAACGAAAAUGACGGUACCUGCAGAAGAAGGAGCGGCCAACUAUGUGCCAGCAGCCGCGGUGAUACAUAGGCUUCAAGCGUUGUCCGGAUUUAUUGGGCGUAAAGAGUUCGUAGGCGGUCAAGUAAGUCGGGUGUGAAAAUUCUGGGCUCAACCCAGAGACGCCACCCGAUACUGCUUAACUUGAGUUCGAUAGGGGAGUGGGGAAUUCCUAGUGUAGCGGUGAAAUGCGCAGAUAUUAGGAGGAACACCGGUGGCGAAGGCGCCACUCUGGAUCGAUACUGACGCUGAGGAACGAAAGCAUGGGUAGCAAACAGGAUUAGAUACCCUGGUAGUCCAUGCCGUAAACGGUGGGCACUAGGUGUGGGUUUCUAUUAACGAAAUCCGCGCCGUCGCUAACGCAUUAAGUGCCCCGCCUGGGGAGUACGGUCGCAGACUAAACUACAAGAAGUAGACGGCGUGAGACGUGCCGACGGACGACGACGAGGGAGGUAGG
rnacentral:rRNA from 1 species